rnacentral:rRNA from 1 species
UACGUAGGGUGCGAGCGUUAAUCGGAAUUACUGGGCGUAAAGCGUGCGUAGGCGGUUCCUCAAGUCCGUUGUGAAAGCCCCGGGCUCAACCUGGGAAUGGCAGUGGAAACUAGGGGACUGGAAUCUGGCAGAGGGGGGUGGAAUGCCGCGUGUAGCAGUGAAAUGCGUAGAGAUGCGGCGGAACACCGAUGGCGAAGGCAGCCCCCUGGGCUGAGGUUGACGCUCAGGCACGAAAGCGUGGGGAGCAAACAGG